UGGGGAAUUUUGGACAAUGGGGGAAACCCUGAUCCAGCCAUCCCGCGUGUGCGAUGAAGGCCUUCGGGUUGUAAAGCACUUUUGGCAGGAAAGAAACGUCGCGGGUUAAUACCCCGCGAAACUGACGGUACCUGCAGAAUAAGCACCGGCUAACUACGUGCCAGCAGCCGCGGUAAUACGUAGGGUGCAAGCGUUAAUCGGAAUUACUGGGCGUAAAGCGUGCGCAGGCGGUUCGGAAAGAAAGAUGUGAAAUCCCAGAGCUUAACUUUGGAACUGCAUUUUUUAACUACCGGGCUAGAGUGUGUCAGAGGGAGGUGGAAUUCCGCGUGUAGCAGUGAAAUGUGUAGAUAUGCGGAGGAACACCGAUGGCGAAGGCAGCCUCCUGGGAUAACACUGACGCUCAUGCACGAAAGCGUGGGGAGCAAAACAGGAUUAGAUACCCUGGGUAGUCCACGCCCUAAACGAUGUCAACUAGCUGUUGGGGGCCUUCGGGCCUUGGUAGCGCAGCUAACGCGUGAAGUUGACCGCCUGGGGAGUACGGUCGCAAGAUUAAAACUCAAAUG
rnacentral:rRNA from 1 species